ACGAACGCUGGCGGCAUGCCUAACACAUGCAAGUCGAACGAGACCUUCGGGUCUAGUGGCGCACAGGUGCGUAACGCGUGGGAACCUGCCCUUAGGUUCGGAAUAACUCCCCGAAAGGGGUGCUAAUACCGGAUAAUGUCUUCGGACCAAAGAUUUAUCGCCUUUGGAUGGGCCCGCGUUGGAUUAGCUAGUUGGUAGGGUAAAAGCCUACCAAGGCGACGAUCCAUAGCUGGUCUGAGAGGAUGAUCAGCCACACUGGGACUGAGACACGGCCCAGACUCCUACGGGAGGCAGCAGUGGGGAAUAUUGGACAAUGGGCGAAAGCCUGAUCCAGCAAUGCCGCGUGAGUGAUGAAGGCCUUAGGGUUGUAAAGCUCUUUUACCCGGGAUGAUAAUGACAGUACCGGGAGAAUAAGCUCCGGCUAACUCCGUG
rnacentral:rRNA from 1 species